rnacentral:rRNA from 1 species
AGUGAACGCUGGCGGCAGGCCUAAUACAUGCAAGUCGAACGGCAGCACAGUGGAGCUUGCUCCAUGGGUGGCGAGUGGCGGACGGGUGAGGAAUACAUGGGAAUCUGCCCAGUCGUGGGGAUAACGUAUGGAAACGUACGCUAAUACCGCAUGCGCCCUUCGGGGGAAAGUCGGGGACCGCAAGGCCUGACGCGAUUGGAUGAGCCCAUGUUCGAUUAGCUAGUUGGCGGGUAACGGCCCACCAAGGCGACGAUCGAUAGCUGGUCUGAGAGGAUGAUCAGCCACACUGGAACUGAGACACGGUCCAGACUCCUACGGGAGGCAGCAGUAGGGAAUAUUGGACAAUGGGCGCAAGCCUGAUCCAGCCAUGCCGCGUGAGUGAAGAAGGCCCUCGGGUUGUAAAGCUCUUUGUUGGGUAAGAAAGCAGUGUUAAUACCGAUUGUUCUGACGGUACCCAAAGAAUAAGCAACCGGCUAACUUCGUGCCAGCAGCC